rnacentral:rRNA from 1 species
AGUGAACGCUGGCGGUAGGCCUAACACAUGCAAGUCGAACGGCAGCACAGUAAGAGCUUGCUCUUACGGGUGGCGAGUGGCGGACGGGUGAGGAAUACAUCGGAAUCUACUUUUUCGUGGGUGAGAACGUAGGGAAACUUACGCUAAUACCGCAUACGACCUACGGGUGAAAGCAUGGGAUCUUCGGACCUUGCGCGAUUGAAUGAGCCGAUGUCGGAUUAGCUAGUUGGCGGGGUAAAGGCCCACCAAGGCGACGAUCCGUAGCUGGUCUGAGAGGAUGAUCAGCCACACUGGAACUGAGACACGGUCCAGACUCCUACGGGAGGCAGCAGUGGGGAAUAUUGGACAAUGGGCGCAAGCCUGAUCCAGCCAUACCGCGUGGGUGAAGAAGGCCUUCGGGUUGUAAAGCCCUUUUGUUGGGAAAGAAAAGCAGCAGGUUAAUACCCCGCUGUUCUGACGGUACCCAAAGAAUAAGCACCGGCUAACUUCGUG